rnacentral:rRNA from 1 species
AUUGAACGCUGGCGGCAGGCCUAACACAUGCAAGUCGAGCGAGCGGCGGACGGGUGAGUAAUGCCUGGGAAUUGCCCAGUCGAGGGGGAUAACAGUUGGAAACGACUGCUAAUACCGCAUACGACUUGAUUGCACAGGUGGGAUUAGCUAGUUGGUGAGGUAAUUGCUCACAAAGGCGACCAUCCCUCGCUGGUCUGCACGGAUGAUCAGCCACACUGGAACUGAGAAACGGGCCCGACUCGUACGGGAGGCAGCAGUGGGUAAUAUUGCACAAUGGGGGAAACCCUGAUGCAGCCAGGCCGCGUGGGUGAAGAAGGCCUUCGGGUGGUAAAGCACUUUCAGCGAGGAGGCGUUACUCGCAGAAGAAGCACCGGCUAACUCCGUGCCAGCAGCCGCGGUAAUUC